UGGAACCUAUACUAAAGUCAGGCAUGAAACGC
rnacentral:piRNA from 1 species